CGGUCUGUCGCUGGUCUCAUCAGAGACGAGAGGAAAGUCCGGGCAGCGUAGGGUGCUCCACUUCUGAAAAUGGAAGCUAUUGGUGACAGUAGGGAUGAGGUAGAAGAAAAUAACCGCCGAUAAAUAUCGGUAAGGGUGAGAAGGUGGUGUAAGAGACCACCAGGCGGCAGGUGACUGUCGUGCUGUACCUCCCGGAGGCUGCAAGUUCAUGUAAACUGUUGUUUGAGGGUAGCCCGUCCGAGCACUUGUGCACAACAGAGGGUAGAACGCUUGAGCCAUUCGGUGACGGAUGGUGUAGAUAAAUGACAGACAGCGAGAAUCCGUUCUCGUUACAGAACCCGGCUUAUAGUUGCCCU
rnacentral:RNase_P_RNA from 1 species